rnacentral:rRNA from 1 species
AACUUUCAACAACGGAUCUCUUGGUUCUCGCAUCGAUGAAGAACGCAGCGAAAUGCGAUAAGUAGUGUGAAUUGCAGAAUUCCGUGAAUCAUCGAAUCUUUGAACGCAUAUUGCGCCUCCUGGCAUUCCGGGAGGCAUGCCUGUUCGAGCGUCA